CAAAUUUUGAAGAACUUUUGC
rnacentral:piRNA from 1 species